rnacentral:lncRNA from 1 species
AACAAGGGAGUGGAGGGGCAAAAGAGCAACCGGUUCAUCUAUAGAGAAGCAAUGUAGAACCCAACCUCUAUCUUUCAUUUUUAGUGUGUGUGAACCUAAAGAUCCAAAAUCAAUACUCCCAUGUUGGAACAACGUAGCAUUCUACACAUAUAACUUUCAAAUGUCUAAAAAAGAUAAAAGAAGCGAAUUCGAUUCUCUUUCUUUUUGUUUGUAUAUUGACUUCAGAGGUAAGUUAACUAUAUAAUGUUCAGGAAAACAAGGUCAAUCAAUGGCGAUGGCGCAUAAAAGUGAGGGUAUUCAUUUGAAUACAAUAAUUGUUGUAAAAUGUUAUAUAAAUUUUGGGAUUGGUGCACUAUUUUGAUUCCCCAACUCAUAUGGCUUAAAUACCUAGCCCGUUCGAUUUGAACGUCAAGCUGGCCCACUGUUCACAAUUUAACUCACAACCAGAAAAAGAAAUGUAAAUCUUGGAUCAAAUAAGACAACCCAAUUGGAUACUUCAAUUCUCAAAACAGUAACAAAACAAUAUAGUAUCUCUAUCAAAUAGUCUGUUGAAUUUGUAGACCUACCAAGUGUUCUUCUUUGUAUGUAAGAAUAUCUUUUGUUAAUUUUUUAAUAUAUAUCAAUCUAGAUAGAGUCCAAUGAGGUAUCGAAAGGUGAAAGAGCCAGAAAGACAAUAGUUUUUGUUACAUACACUGAAAGAGAUGAUUUUGAUAGUAUUGGUAAUGUGAAGAUUACACAAGGAAGAAUUGAAAACUCAUCAAUGGAAAUUGUAAUAUUUUUAAGUAUUUACACGUUUCUUGGCGAAUCAUAAAAUAUACUGGAGUUCCUUUUUGUAGAUAAUUUUUUAAGUAGAAUUGACAUAAUUUAACUAUGUUAAUGACUACCUUGACAAAAAUUUAUAAAACAGACACUAAGGUGAACGCUCCCUUGGGAAUUGGAAUUUUGAUAACAAAACUUAGGUCAUACACGCAAGAAAGGAUUUGGGUUGUUUUAAGUUUGGUGAAAUUGACUCACACAGGGAGACAACAUAAGAGUAAACUUACUAGAAGGUAAUUGUUCAUGUCCAUUGGAGGGAUACGGGGCAAACACGGAACCCCUAAUGAGCUUGACUGAACGAAAACCAAUGUUACUCUUCGCAAAUCUUUUAUUUUAUUCAUGGACUUUCGUUAUGGUCCAAAUUGGGUCAUUUACUUGCGACUGAGUUAGGAUACAAAACAAGGAAUGAGAAUUACUUUCGUGUAUAUCGUGGACUCACUUGCCUAACAGUAACACCACCUCUUGCAUCUACUUUUUCCAGGAAAUUUCUUGCUCAUGUAUUUCUUUAGUUGGAAAAGGGACUUCGUGCUCAAGACCACACUAUGCAAGUGAGCCUUUUCCUUUUUUAACUUUAUGUACAUUGACAACCAUCUUAUAGAGCAAUAGAGAGGUAAAUGUUCCUCAACCAAGACAACCAACCUUAGCCCACACGCUGGAGUCUGCAGGGUGCUUGCUAGUAGGGUGUUUCAAAGGCUCAUUCAUAACCCAACCUUCGUUGUAGUCUGAUUUUAUCCAUUCAAUUGAUGGGAUGAGUGGGCAUUACCUCUUUUUUCAUUGUUUUAAACAUUAGGACUCACUACAUUUGAAGGGUACGUCUCGUAGUACCGUGAGAUGCUAACCUCCCAAGGGGCCUAUAUGACAUUUGGUAGAUGUUAUUUAAUCAUGGCUUCAAGCGACAUGAAUUUCGUGGGAGCAAAAAUCUGCGCUUCCAUGUACCUGGGACACCUUAAUAUCACGGUAUGCCAUAUCCAAAAAAUUCAAUAAUCAUUCAACCCAACUAAAUCUUUUCCCAGCAAUGCUAUAUGGACCACAAUCGCAGUACUUAUAAUUUUAGGGGAAAAAAACAAUAGAAUAGAAUAGAAAGGGCAGGGGACAUUCAUUUAUACCUGGCCCUUUGCAACAAAUUCUCUCCAUCGAGAAGGCUUCCAGAUUGUUCGGGCUUAGUUCGGUAAGUGCUUUCUGCAUGAAGAUUAAGUAUGUAAUGGCCGUGAUCAAUAACAUGCGCAUAUAAUUAAGUUUAGGUGAUUAUAGAGUUAAGGCAGAUAAAAUAAACGCGAAAGUGGUUUUCAUAACCUUUGGAAAACUAUAUGUACCAUUCAUCAUGCUAUCACUAUAAUAAAGAAUUUGUUAGACACUACUUCACGUGGCAUCCAUAUUUAUGAGCAGAGAAAAUGGGGCUGCUAUGGAUGAGUUUUGGUAAAAUAUAUAUCAGGUACUUCAAGGCGUGGGCUGUCCGUGAACUUCAUAGAACCACUUUGGACAUCUCAAAAAACGAAAUGGAAGGCAUUUAUAAAGAUUUAUUUCUAUGCAAAUACAUCCAUUUGGGUCUUCUACGAUCCAAACUUAGAAUUGUGCCGAUUAAGAGAGUCAUUCUAUACAUGGAAGGGAAUGCAAAGAGAGGACUGAAACAACUUUGGGAAAAACAUAUUGGAAACAUUGAACUCUAAAACUCAAUCAAAAUAAACCCAUUUUUAGAGUAAUGGAAACAGUGGAACAACUUGAGGGAACGAUUGAGGUAUACCAAUAGAGAACUCACUGGCGAUUUUCACCGAACAGUUGGUGUCCUCGACUGAAAUCCCAGCCAAAUCCUUGCGUCAUCAAAUACCACAGCCUGAAGAAUUGGGUUGGGAUGUAAGAGAAGCUGAGGUCUGACCUUCUGAGAAGAUUCUUGCUGUUGAAUCUGUUGAGUAUGGUACCAAGAACACAAGCACAAUCCGUGGAUGAUUCUGGAUUUUAAGUUGUGGCAGAUGCAUAGGUUGCCAGGCAAUCAAUCGAAGCUUGUAUUUUGCUCAACAAUAGUAGCGUGCUGAAGAUGAUUGCCGACUGAAUCCGAGAGGCGAGCGAGUUGCUCAACAAAUGAAGGACGAGCGAGACAGUUUCGUCUUUCGAGCAAAAUUGGGAGGGCAUUUUCGUAAUCCCGAGCGUUAGAAGUUUAGAACACUUCGCACCUUUCAAGUUGUAUAGAUUUGAAAACAAGACCAUGCACAGUCCCCUACCUAUAUAAUAUGACAAUAAUAUUAUAGACACUAAUUUUCUUUUAUUAAAUAUACAUAUAAUAUCCUUAUUGU